AGUGAACGCUGGCGGUAGGCCUAACACAUGCAAGUCGAACGGCAGCACAGGAGAGCUUGCUCUCUGGGUGGCGAGUGGCGGACGGGUGAGGAAUACAUCGGAAUCUACUUUUUCGUGGGGGAUAACGUAGGGAAACUUACGCUAAUACCGCAUACGACCUACGGGUGAAAGCAGGGGACCUUCGGGCCUUGCGCGAUUGAAUGAGCCGAUGUCGGAUCAGCUAGUUGGCGGGGUAAAGGCCCACCAAGGCGACGAUCCGUAGCUGGUCUGAGAGGGUGAUCAGCCACACUGGAACGGAGACACGGUCCAGACUCCUACGGGAGGCAGCAGUGGGGAAUAUUGGACAAUGGUCGCAAGCCUGAGCCAGCCAUACCGCGUGGGUGUAGAAGGCCUUCGGGUUGUAAAGCCCUUUUGUUGGGAAAGAAAUCCAGCUGGCUAAUACCCGGUUGGGAUGACGGUACCCAAAGAAUAAGCACCGGCUAACUUCGUGCCAGCAGCCGCAGUAA
rnacentral:rRNA from 1 species